rnacentral:rRNA from 1 species
CGGGACGGGUGAAGUAACACGGUGGGAACGUUACCUUUAGGUUCGGAACAACACGAGGGAAACUUGUGCUAAUGCCGAAUGUGCCCGUUACGGGGGAAAGAUUUAUCGCCUUUAGAGCGGCCCGCGUCUGAUUAGCUUGUUGGUGAGGUAAAGGCUCACCAAGGCUACGAUCAGUAGCUGGUCUGAGAGGAUGAUCAGCCACACUGGGACUGAGACACGGCCCAGACUCCUACGGGAGGCAGCAGGUGGGGAAUCUUGCGCAAUGGGCGAAAGCCUGACGCAGCCAUGCCGCGUGAAUGAUGAAGGUCUUAGGAUUGUAAAAUUCUUUCACCGGGGAAGAUAAUGACGGUACCCGGAGAAGAAGCCCCGGCUAACUUCGUG